UGGGCGACUAGUUUAACUAAAACCACUAAUUUCGACUUAGUAAAACCCAUUGACAUGGGGUCACCAAA
rnacentral:tRNA from 1 species